CACGGGUGCGUAACGCGUAUACAACCUACCUUUCACAUAGGGAUAGCCCGAAGAAAUUUGGAUUAAUACCUAAUGGUAUAUAGGAGUGGCAUCGUUUUUAUAUUAAAGCUACGGUGGUGAAAGAUGAGUAUGCGUUCUAUUAGCUAGUUGGAGAGGUAACGGCUCCCCAAGGCGACGAUAGAUAGGGGUUCUGAGAGGGAUGUCCCCCACACUGGUACUGAGAUACGGACCAGACUCCUACGGGAGGCAGCAGUGAGGAAUAUUGGACAAUGGUCGGAAGACUGAUCCAGCCAUGCCGCGUGCAGGAAGAAGGCCUUAUGGGUUGUAAACUGCUUUUGCAUGGGAAGAAUAAGGAGUACGUGUACUUUGAUGACGGUACUCUGCGAAUAAGCAUCGGCUAACUCCGUGCCAGCAGCCGCGGUAAUACGGAGGAUGCGAGCGUUAUCCGGAAUCAUUGGGUUUAAAGGGUCUGUAGGCGGGCUAUUAAGUCAGAGGUGAAAGCGCUUCAGCUCAACUAAGCAACUGCCUUUGAAACUGUUAGUCUUGAAUGAUUGUGAAGUAGUUGGAAUGUGUAGUGUAGCGGUGAAAUGCUUAGAUAUUACACAGAACACCGAUAGCGAAGGCAUAUUACUAACAAUUUAUUGACGCUGAUGGACGAAAGCGUGGGGAGCGAACAGGAUUAGAUACCCUGGUAGUCCACGCUGUAAACGA
rnacentral:ncRNA from 1 species